GUUUGGUACAAGAAAGUAAUUCCUCAGCUCAAAUGAAGAGAAGAGAAAUGGAGGAGAUUGCUAUACUGUGUUUACCCUCAAAAACGAUGCCAAACAGAACUGCUUAGCCCAGCCCAUUGCAUCCAAUCAAGCACUUCAGUGACUGUAGUCACUAAAGCCACUCUGAGGAGGAAUCUCUGUCCACUGUCUGAUGUCCAUCAUAAGGACAGCCACCCUCCUCGGGAACUCCUGUGCAGCUGCUCUAUGCAUCCCCACCACAGCCCUGCAGCCCAGAUGGUUGAGAACCAUUGCUUGAAGGCGCUGUUCCCUGAUGAGAAAUUAUGAGCUGAUGGCAGCCCACAUUGACAUCGAGCUCCCCACUGCUGGUGAGCUCCACACCUGUAAGCCACACGCAUUUCUUGCCAACCUGACUGAGAGAGAAGGAGCUGUGGAGAACACCUCAUUCUGGGGUGUGCACAUGAUUGUCAUGAGAAGCAAACAUGUUCUCCAGACCGGUGUGUUCCAUUUUGAUCAAUUUAAGACUGUUUCAUUGGAUGAGCAAAAGCUUGAGUACAGACAUGCUGCAAGUCAAGAUCACGCUCUAGAACCCUUCAUUCAUCACUGCCAGAUCUCCAUGGCUGUCAACCAGCUUUCAAGAGUGAGGCUAACAAAUAUCACUUCUGUUUCUACCCAGAUGCCUAUAGAGGCUAGAGUUUCUACUGCUGCCUCUGAUGAAAACUCUGAAGCUGAGCUCCACUUUGCACUGGGUCAUCAAUGACAGAUGAUCAACAAAGAAGCCAGUAUCCAGGAAAUAGGGUGAUGGAAUACCACGGUACCUUUUGUUUGGGUUGGAAGACUUAAAUACUAUAGGCAAUUGUUAUUUCCCAUGAUCUACCCAGAUCCAGGAUUGGUUAAUUCAGCGCCUAAAUGAUAUCACUUGAGAUUGUUGUCCAUCUUUAAAGUUCUUAAGUCCUAAGUUCUCUGUUGUCAUGGUUACAGGAUUUGGUUCACAGCUCUGAGCAACCUCUGCUUACCUCAGAGCAGAAAAGGGCCCAUCUUCUCUCUGGUUAAUCUGAGCCACUGAGAACUUAGCCUUGUGGUACACAGCCAUCUUGUAACCCUUUGUGAUGAGAUAUCUAAGAAAGACUCAACUGUUUGAAAGAAAGCCAAACCCAGAGACGAGACACAUCUGCACGCAAAUGUCAAUCUGAGCUCACAAAAGCUUCUGGACUUCUUCCAUGACACAAAAACUUUCUCCUCAACUUGGUUACCUAUCACUUAUAACCCUGAGGACCUACUCAUAUGCUCUACUUGUCAAAAUAAAAAUCAGUUGACCCUCAGCUCCAAUGUCUAUGUGGAGAUAAGAUGAAAACUUUUUGGAGUUGGUUCUUUCUUUCCUCCAUGUGGGUCCCAAGGAUCUAACUCAGGUCAGCAGGCUUGGCAGCAAACAUCUUUAUCUUCUGAACCAUCUCACUGGUCAUCCUUCUCAGUAGUUCUCUUUAGAACUACUGAGAUCAUGAUCAAAAAAGAAAGAUAAGAAAUGGUCACAUGCUACACAGACUGGAGAACUACAUAUGAACAGAUAUCCUGGGCCA
ensembl:lncRNA